rnacentral:lncRNA from 1 species
GCGGAUCACCGUGGUUCUUGCGGCUCCCGGGCGUGGCCAUUUACAACCCGCCUCGCACCUGCUAGAGAAAAGACCCCGGCCAUGGAUGGGAGACCUAGGACAAAGAUGGAAAAGAGGUCAGACACAAAUUUUGCAAUGCUUGGCACCAGACAGCUGCUCAAUGAGGAACACAACUGCAUCAUGGAGAAUCCCCAGCAUCCUCAAACCGUUAACACCUAGAAGAAUCAGAAGCACCAGGGAAGUGAGGAGCGCAGUCAACAGGAAACAGCAUGGUCCUACAGAAAUGCCUAUGCUAUAGUCACUCUGCCAGAGGCUGCUCCAGGGUGAAUUAUAGUACAUAUUAGCUCGAAAUUAGCAUCAGAUAGCCAUUAAAAUGAUGCUGAUACAGAUCUAUCAAUAUGGAAAAUGUUUGUGAUAGACGGCUAAGUGAAAAAAGCAUGCCACCAAA